AUUGAACGCUGGCGGCAUGCCUUACACAUGCAAGUCGAACGGCAGCACGGGAGCAAUCCUGGUGGCGAGUGGCGAACGGGUGAGUAAUAUACCGGAACGUGCCCAGUCGUGGGGGAUAACGCAGCGAAAGCUGUGCUAAUACCGCAUACGAUCUACGGAUGAAAGCGGGGGAUCGCAAGACCUCGCGCGAUUGGAGCGGCCGAUAUCAGAUUAGCUAGUUGGUGGGGUAAAGGCCCACCAAGGCGACGAUCUGUAGCUGGUCUGAGAGGACGACCAGCCACACUGGAACUGCGAAACGGUCCAGACUCCGACGGGAGGCAGCAGUGGGGAAUUUUGGACAAUGGGCGCAAGCCUGAUCCAGCAAUGCCGCGUGCAGGAUGGAGGCCUUCGGGUUGUAAACUGCUUUUGUCAGGGAAGAAAUCCCUUGGGAUAAUACCUCGGGGGGAUGACGGUACCUGAAGAAUAAGCACCGGCUAACUACGUGCCAGCCGCCGCCGUAA
rnacentral:rRNA from 1 species